rnacentral:tRNA from 1 species
GCCCUUGUAGUUCAGAGGUAGAACAUCUUCUUGGUAAGGAGAAGGUCGUGAGUUCGAUUCUCAUCAAGGGCU